GAUGAACGCUGGCGGCGUGCUUAACACAUGCAAGUCGAACGGUGAAAGAGAGCUUGCUCUCUGGAUCAGUGGCGAACGGGUGAGUAACACGUGAGCAAUCUGCCCCUGACUCUGGGAUAAGCGCUGGAAACGGCGUCUAAUACCGGAUACGAGCUGCGAAGGCAUCUUCAGCAGCUGGAAAGAACUUCGGUCAGGGAUGAGCUCGCAGCCUAUCAGCUAGUUGGUGAGGUAACGGCUCACCAAGGCGUCGACGGGUAGCCGGCCUGAGAGGGUGACCGGCCACACUGGGACUGAGACACGGCCCAGACUCCUACGGGAGGCAGCAGUGGGGAAUAUUGCACAAUGGGCGAAAGCCUGAUGCAGCAACGCCGCGUGAGGGACGACGGCCUUCGGGUUGUAAACCUCUUUUAGCAGGGAAGAAGCGAAAGUGACGGUACCUGCAGAAAAAGCACCGGCUAACUACGUG
rnacentral:rRNA from 1 species